rnacentral:rRNA from 1 species
ACUCCUACGGGAGGCAGCAGUGGGGAAUAUUGCACAAUGGGCGCAAGCCUGAUGCAGCCAUGCCGCGUGUAUGAAGAAGGCCUUCGGGUUGUAAAGUACUUUCAGCGGGGAGGAAGGCGAUAAGGUUAAUAACCUUGUUGAUUGACGUUACCCGCAGACGAAGCACCGGCUAACUCCGUGCCAGCAGCCGCGGUAAUACGGAGGGUGCAAGCGUUAAUCGGAAUUACUGGGCGUAAAGCGCACGCAGGCGGUCUGUCAAGUCGGAUGUGAAAUCCCCGGGCUCAACCUGGGAACUGCAUUCGAAACUGGCAGGCUAGAGUCUUGUAGAGGGGGGUAGAAUUCCAGGUGUAGCGGUGAAAUGCGUAGAGAUCUGGAGGAAUACCGGUGGCGAAGGCGGCCCCCUGGACAAAGACUGACGCUCAGGUGCGAAAGCGUGGGGAGCAAACAGGAUUAGAAACCCCGGUAGUCC